rnacentral:rRNA from 1 species
CCUACGGGAGGCAGCAGUGGGGAAUAUUGCACAAUGGGCGAAAGCCUGAUGCAGCAACGCCGCGUGAGCGAUGAAGGCCUUCGGGUUGUAAAGCUCUGUUCUCAAGGAAGAUAAUGACGGUACUUGAGGAGGAAGCGCCGGCUAACUACGUGCCAGCAGCCGCGGUAAUACGGAGGGGGCUAGCGUUAUCCGGAAUUACUGGGCGUAAAGGGGGCGUAGGUGGGUUCUUAAGUCAGAGGUGAAAGGUUACGGCUCAACCGUAGUAAGCCGUUGAAACUGGUAAUCUUGAGUGCGGGAGAGGUGAGUGGAAUUCCUGGUGUAGCGGUGAAAUGCGUAGAUAUUACGAGGAACACUGAUUGCGAAGGCGGCUCUCUGGACUGUAACUGACGCUGAGGCACGAAAGCGUGGGGAGCAAACAGGAUUAGAUACCCGAGUAGUC